rnacentral:lncRNA from 1 species
UCUAAAUUAUAAUCCAUAGAAUUUUUUAAUAAUUUGCCAAAAUGUAGUUUAUAUUAUGCUUUUUAAAAAAUAAUAAUAAAAAGAAUGGGUCAAGGGGCUUAUUUUCACGCUACACGGUGUUUAAAAUUGACAGAUUUUGUAUAGAUUAUGCAUGGAAAACCCAAUUUUCUGCAAUAAAGCGUAUACUACACCAUAGCAUUUUGAGAUAACAUAUGAGAAGAUAGCUUUAAUAGUAUGCUUUAAGUUAAGAAAAAGAAAAAA